CUGAAGCUCACUGGUGCUCUGGCAGAGCAGCUUAUCCCACAGGCUUCUCUGAGCACUCAGCCCCGUCGGUUCAGUCCUGUCGAUUAUCUUCUAAAAGGUGCUUCGUCUUUUAGACUACAGACGACUCUUCUUGACUAUUCAGGGAUCCACGUGGAAACAGAUUCUGC